GACAGGGAAGCAUAGCUGAGCCGUGAGGUAGUGUCAACUGGGACAAGUUGAGGUCCUAUAGCCUUGGUCCCUUUAACCUCAUUCUCUCCAUCACCACAGCACUGGGAAAACACUCACAGAAGGAAGCCAGCAGGUUUUGCCAGAUGGCUGACCGCGCUGACCCCAACCAUUCCCCCACCUUUAACUCUUCCUUAAGAAAACAAGGAGCGGGCCAGCCAAUCAGUUUAUGGCUUCCUCUUGUUCAACCAUGUUCUUUGGCUGUAAACUCCGUCUUGCUUGGCCAGCAUCCUCUAUUUUGGCUGGACUGAGGGUAGAGUAUUGCUUUUAUAGGUGCCUAUAAAACAGCCGGUAGAAUUUGGAUUAUUCAUGGAGAUGGUGCAAAAAGAAAAAUUAUGAAAACAGGAAGAAGAAGAAGAAGAAGAAGAAGAAGAAGAAGAAGAAGAAGAAGAAGAAGAAGGAGAAAGCACCAAACUCUUUCUUUGACCCUACAGCUGUGGAGGUAUACAUCUUUGAGAAAAGGGGAAAAACCAAGGGGAAGGGAAAAUACACAGCAUGGACAUGAUUGAAACAUGAAGGAGCUUUUAUUUCAGUCAUUAAAUUUAUUUAUUUAUUUAUUUAAUUCUCAUAAACAAAGCAGGAGUUCUUUGCAAAUGUACAAUUACAAACCAGCACUCAAGCUCAUCUGUAAGCUAGUAACAUCAGCUCACGCCCUGUUAUUGGAAAGCACUGUUUGUUUUUCUCCAUCUACUCUUUUGCUGAUGGUUCAUUCAAAUGAUGAGACGGUUACUCCCACACUAACUUGUCCCAUAAUUACUGUACUCUUGACGUGUGUGACCCCUGGAUCUUGCGAUAGAAGGAUAUAUGUUUCCAUGCAGAGAGAGGUGGCUUGCAAAUGGUUGCAUUAACAACCUUGGAAGGCAUUCUCAAGAACACAUUGUCCUAGAUGCUCUCAAAUGCGGAUUCCGUCCACAUGAACUGCUGGAGUAAACACACCACUAUAAAUGUCCUAAUGCUGCUGCUCAAAAUGUAUUGUCUUUUUUGGAAUGGAUAUUCAAGCACAAAAGACAUGUCUACCCUAUACGUUCUGAAGGAUGCAUUCAUGUUUCAAGUAUGGCUUUUCUGUAUAAUAGUGAGUGUUUUAGUUGCAGUAUAACCAGCAAAGAGUCUUGUAGCAUCAGCUUUAUUGUAGAAUAAACUUUACAGGGACUUAUAUCCCACUUCAUUGGAUGCAUGAAGUAUUACCUGUGUGCAUCAACUACACUUCUGAAAAAGCUUUAGGAGCA